rnacentral:rRNA from 1 species
GACGGAGGGUGCAAGCGUUGUUCGGAAUCAUUGGGCGUAAAGCGUGUGUAGGCGGCUUGGCAAGUCUGGGGUGAAAUACCGCAGCUUAACUUCGGAACUGCCCUCGAAACUGGCUGGCUCGAGUCCGGGAGAGGGUGGCGGAAUUCCCGGUGUAGCGGUGAAAUCCGUAGAUAUCGGGAGGAACACCUGUGGCGAAGGCGGGCUCCGGGGCGGUGACUGACGCUGAGGCGCGAUAGCGUGGGGAGCAAACAGG